rnacentral:rRNA from 1 species
AUGCCGAUAGAGAUGCCGCGGGGGCUCCCCUUCGCCGUGGACACGUGGGGCGCCUCCUCCCGCCGCCGGCGCCACCGCUUCCUCACCCACGCGCACCGGGACCACCUCGUCGGCGCCGCCGCCGGGGCCGGCCCCGGAGGAGGAGGAGGCGCCCUCUACGCCACCCGCCUCACCCUGUCCCUCGCCCUCCGCCACUUUCCCCAGCUGGAUCAGGGGGAGUUCGUGGAGGUCGAGGUGGGGAGGACGUUGAAGGUGGAUGACCCCGCCGGCGCCUUCUCCGUCACCGCGUACGAUGCCAACCACUGCCCUGGGGCAGUUAUGUUCUUGUUUGAGGGUGAAUUCGGUAGCAUACUGCACACGGGCGACUGCCGACUUACACCAGAUUGUGCUCAGAACUUGCCACUGAAAUACAUAGCAAAGAAAGGGAAAGAAAAUGUUUGUCGUUUAGACUUUGUGUUCCUGGACUGCACAUUUUCCAAAUGCUUCCUCAAACUACCAAGCAAGGAGUUGGCAAUUCAGCAGGUUAUAGCUUGUAUAUGGAAGCAUCCGGAUGCACCUUUUGUAUAUCUUGCUUGUGACCUUCUUGGUCACGAAGAGAUCCUAGUUGAGGUGUCCAGGACGUUUGGAUCGAAAAUUUAUGUUGACACGAGAAGGAAUUCAGAUUGUUUUAAAGCGCUGUCACUCACAGCCCCUGAGAUCAUCACUGGUGAUCCAUCUUGUCGCUUUCAGAUAGUUGGAUUCCACCAUUUGUAUGAUAAUGCAAGUAAAAAGCUUGAAGGGGCAAGGGCUAGUCUUCAGCCAGAGCCUUUAUUUAUCCGCCCCUCAACGCAGUGGUAUGCCUGUGGUCGAAACCAGAAACCCAGCCUAACAGAAGCUCAGCAGGAUGAUUUUGGGAUCUGGCAUGUCUGUUUCUCCAUUCACUCAUCCCGUGACGAGUUGGAGCAGGCGAUGCAACUUCUUCAACCUCAAUGGGUCAUCUCAACAACUCCCCCAUGCUUUGCCAUGGAGCUGAGCUAUGUGAAGAAACAUUGUUUCAAGACUCGCUUGACAACUAAUGAUCCAUUGUGGAAGAUAUUCAGGGAUCCUCUUCAAAAGUCAGUAACCUCACCCUCGUCGGUGCUUGCUUCUUGCACGCCGCCAGAUGAAGAUCCCUCAACUUUUGUUGAUGAUGAUCAUCCAACUUCUGCCAGUGAAGAAUGCACAGAUUUUGAUGUCAUUACACUUGAACUGCAAUUUGUGCCAUCCCCUCCGGUUGAAGAACCAGAUAUUACAUUGUUUGGAAGAGCAAGAUUUGGUUCUCAAGCGAUUGACAUAAUGAAAGAAGAGUUGUGCCACCAGUACAUUGCUGCAGCUGAACAAACCAGAUUCUGUGCACCGGAAGAUUUGCUUCAUGAUAGCAGCCAAAAUGUUGAAACAUAUUCUGGUAUGGAUUUAAUCACAAAGCAAGCCCCAGCUUCCCAACAAGAUUGUGCCGAAGCUGGAGAUGUGGCCCCCUCCUGUCAGUGUGCCGAAGCUGGAGGUGUGCCCCCCUCCUCUCAGUGUAAAGCACCCCCAACCCUACCAGAAGCAUUUGCAGUUCAACCUUUGCCUACUGUUCAACACAAUAUGUCAGUAGUGCUUGAUCAACUGGAAAAGUCUGACAUUAUAAUAGAGCCAAUAUCUAUAAGCACUGCCGAAAGUUCAAGCCUUCGCAUGGUUAGGAAUGCAGAGGUAACAGAUUGUCAAUCGGACCGCCUGUGUGUCAUUGGGUCAUCGAAAUCUUUGCAUGCAAGUCUGAAGAGGCUGUACAGAUCGAGGAAUGUCCCUGUCCCGCAUCCUCUCCCGUCUCUUGUUGGACUUUUGGAAUCCACUAAACGGGUCAAAAGGCGACCUGGCUCUGAUUAUAGCUCGUUGAAUUCACGGCACAGCCUACCUUGA